UACGUAGGGGGCAAGCGUUGUUCGGAAUUACUGGGCGUAAAGGGCGCGUAGGCGGCACGGCAAGUCAGGAGUGAAAGCCCGGGGCUCAACCCCGGAACGUCUUUUGAAACUGCCGAGCUAGAGUGCGGAAGAGGCAACUGGAAUUCCCAGUGUAGCGGUGAAAUGCGUAGAUAUUGGGAAGAACACCUGAGGCGAAGGCGGGUUGCUGGGCCGACACUGACGCUGAGACGCGAAAGCGUGGGGAGCAAACAGG
rnacentral:rRNA from 1 species